rnacentral:rRNA from 1 species
GAUGGGAGCUUGCUCCCUGAUGUUAGCGGCGGACGGGUGAGUAACACGUGGGUAACCUGCCUGUAAGACUGGGAUAACUCCGGGAAACCGGGGCUAAUACCGGAUGGUUGUUUGAACCGCAGGUUCAAACAUAAAAGGUGGCUUCGGCUACCACUUACAGAUGGACCCGCGGCGCAUAGCUAGUUGGUGAGGUAACGGCUCACCAAGGCAACGAUGCGUAGCCGACCUGAGAGGGUGAUCGGCCACACUGAGACUGAGACACGGCCCAGACUCCUACCGGAGGCAGCAGUAGGGAAUCUUCCGCAAUGGACGAAAGUCUGACGGAGCAACGCCGCUGUGAGUGAUGAAGGUUUUCGGAUCGUAAAGCUCUGUUGUUAGGGAAGAACAAGUACCGUUCGAAUAGGGCGGUACCUUGACGGUACCUAACCAGAAAGCCACGGCUAACUACGUGCCAGCAGCCGCGGUAAUACGUAGGUGGCAAGCGUUGUCCGGAAUUAUUGGGCGUAAAGGGCUCGCAGGCGGUUUCUUAAGUCUGAUGUGAAAGCCCCCGGCUCAACCGGGGAGGGUCAUUGGAAACUGGGGAACUUGAGUGCAGAAGAGGAGAGUGGAAUUUCCACGUGUAGCGGUGAAAUGCGUAGAGAUGUGGAGGAACACCAGUGGCGAAGGCGACUCUCUGGUCUGUAACUGACGCUGAGGAGCGAAAGCGUGGGGAGCGAACAGGAUUAGAUACCCUGGUAGUCCACGCCGUAAACGAUGAGUGCUAAGUGUUAGGGGGUUUCCGCCCCUUAGUGCU